UACGUAGGGUGCAAGCGUUAAUCGGAAUUACUGGGCGUAAAGCGUGCGCAGGCGGUUAUGUAAGACAGAUGUGAAAUGCCCGGGCUUAACCUGGGAACUGCAUUUGUGACUGCAUGGCUAGAGUUUGGCAGAGGGGGGUAGAAUUCCACGUGUAGCAGUGAAAUGCGUAGAUAUCUGGAGGAACACCGGUGGCGAAGGCGGCAUCCUGGACCGGCAUUGACGCUGAGGCGCGAAAGCCAGGGGAGCAAACGGG
rnacentral:rRNA from 1 species